AUCCAUUUGACGAGUCCCAAAUAGGACGAAACGUGCGUCCUGGAU
rnacentral:hammerhead_ribozyme from 1 species